AUCCCUUAUAAAACGGGGAUCGGGCGUAGGAACCCGUUUAAUCAGUACAAGGCGACACAGGCGCGCCCAGCGUCUUUUUU
rnacentral:sRNA from 1 species